AAGGGUUUGGCUGUUCGCCAAUUAAAGCGGUACGCGAGCUGGGUUUAGAACGUCGUGAGACAGUUCGGUCCCUAUCUUCUGUGGGCGUAGGAGACUUGAUGGGAUCUGUCCCUAGUACGAGAGGACCGGGAUGGACGAACCUCUGGUGUACCAGUUGUCGCGCCAGCGGCAUGGCUGGGUAGCUAUGUUCGGAAGGGAUAACCGCUGAAAGCAUCUAAGUGGGAAACCCUCCCAAAGACUAGGUCUCCCGAGCAUUUAUGCUCCUUAAGGCCAGUUGAAGACUACAACGUUGAUAGGUGGUAGGUGUAUUGAGGUAACUCCUCUUUAGCCGAGCCAUACUAAUCGGCCGUGAGGCUUGAUCAUCCUU
rnacentral:rRNA from 1 species